rnacentral:rRNA from 1 species
UACAGAGGUGCCAAGCGUUAGGCGGAAUCACUGGGCUUAAAGCGCGCGUAGGCGGAUGUUUAAGUGUCUUGUGAAAUCCCACGGCUCAACCGUGGAACUGCUGGGCAUACUGGACAUCUCGAGGCACUCAGGGGCGAGCGGAACAAGUGGUGGAGCGGUGAAAUGCGUAGAUAUCACUUGGAACGCCAAUGGGUGAAGACAGCCUCGCUGGGGGUGUCCUGACGCUGAGGCGCGAAAGCCAGGGAGCAAACGGG